UACCUGCAGCUCAAGUGGUGAUCGUUAUUAUUGGGCCUAAAACGUCCGUAGCCGGUCUUAUAAAUGCCUGGGUAAAUCGUAUGGCUUAACCAUACGAAUUCCGGGUAGACUGUUUGACUUGAGACCGGGAGAAGCUAGAGGUACUCCUGGGGUAGAGGUGAAAUUCUGUAAUCCUAGGGGGACGACCAGUGGCGAAGGCGUCUAGCUAGAACGGGUCUGACGGUGAGGGACGAAGCCCUGGGGCGCAAACGGGAUUAGAUACCCCCGGUAGUCCAGGGUGUAAACUCUGCUUGCUUGAUGUUAGUCUGGCUCCGAGCCAGAUUAGUGUCGGAGAGAAGUUGUUAAGCAAGCUGCCUGGGAAGUACGGCCGCAAGACUGAAACUUAAAGGAAUUGGCGGGGGAGCACAGCAACGGGUGGAGCGUGCGGUUU
rnacentral:rRNA from 1 species